UACGUAGGGUACGAGCGUUGUCCGGAAUUAUUGGGCGUAAAGAGCUCGUAGGCGGCCUGUCGCGUCGGAUGUGAAAGCCCGGGGCUUAACCCCGGGUCUGCAUUCGAUACGGGCAGGCUAGAGUGUGGUAGGGGAGAUCGGAAUUCCUGGUGUAGCGGUGAAAUGCGCAGAUAUCAGGAGGAACACCGGUGGCGAAGGCGGAUCUCUGGGCCAUUACUGACGCUGAGGAGCGAAAGCGUGGGGAGCGAACAGG
rnacentral:rRNA from 1 species